rnacentral:rRNA from 1 species
GCAGUCGCCGCGGGAAUACAUAGGGGGCAAGCGUUAUCCGGAAUGACUGGGUGUAAAGGGUGCGUAGGCGGUAAGGUAAGUCUGAUGUGAAAGACUGGGGCUCAACUCCAGGGGUGCAUUGGAAACUAUGUUACUAGAGUACAGGAGAGGGAAGCGGAAUUCCUAGUGUAGCGGUGAAAUGCGUAGAUAUUAGGAGGAACACCGGUGGCGAAGGCGGCUUUCUGGACUGAAACUGACGCUGAGGCACGAAAGCGUGGGGAGCAAACAGGAUUAGAUACCCGGGUAGUCCCUGUCUCUUAUAC